AGAGUUUGAUCCUGGCUCAGAUUGAACGCUGGCGGCAUGCCUUACACAUGCAAGUCGAACGGCAGCACGGGAGCAAUCCUGGUGGCGAGUGGCGAACGGGUGAGUAAUACAUCGGAACGUGCCCAGUCGUGGGGGAUAACGCAGCGAAAGCUGUGCUAAUACCGCAUACGAUCUAUGGAUGAAAGCGGGGGAUCGCAAGACCUCGCGCGUAUGGAGCGGCCGAUAUCAGAUUAGGUAGUUGGUGGGGUAAAGGCUCACCAAGCCGACGAUCUGUAGCUGGUCUGAGAGGACGACCAGCCACACUGGGAAUGAGACACGGCCCAGACUCCUACGGGAGGCAGUAGUGGGGAAUUUUGGACAAUGGGCGAAAGCCUGAUCCAGCCUUUCCGCGUGCAGGAUGAAGGCCCUCGGGUUGUAAACUGCUUUUUCGGAACGAAACGGUCCUUUCUAAUACAAAGGGCUAAUGACGGUACCGUAAGAAUA
rnacentral:rRNA from 1 species